ncrna:Prochlorococcus marinus str. MIT 9515 Glutamine-II riboswitch (downstream peptide RNA)
UUACGUUCAUCCUAAUUGAAUUUACGGACGCAUGACAUGGAAAUAGGGAACGGGAUUUCCAU